rnacentral:rRNA from 1 species
CCAAUAGCGUAUAUUAAAGUUGUUGCAGUUAAAAAGCUCGUAGUUGAAUUUCGGGAUCAAUACGUCGGUCGUGCUUCGGUACGUACUGGCGUCAUUGAUUUCUCCCUUCUGACGAACCAUGAUGUCAUUAACUUGGUGUCAUGGGAAAUCAGGACUGUUACUUUGAAAAAAUUAGAGUGUUUAAAGCAGGCUCACGCUUGAAUACAUUAGCAUGGAAUAAUGAAAUAGGACGUUCGAUCCUAUUUUGUUGGUUUUAGGAUCAACGUAAUGAUUAAUAGGGAUAGUUUGGGGCAUUAGUAUUCAAUUGUCAGAGGUGAAAUUCUUGGAUUUAUUGAAGACUAACUACUGCGAAAGCAUUUGCCAAGGAUGUUUUCAUUAAUCAAGAACGAAAGUUGGGGGAUCGAAGACGAUCAGAUACCGUCGUAGUCUUAACCAUAAACUAUGCCGACUAGGGAUCGGAUGAUGUUAAUUUUUUAAUGACUCAUUCGGCGCCUUACG